rnacentral:rRNA from 1 species
UUGGAGGGCAAGUCUGGUGCCAGCAGCCGCGGUAAUUCCAGCUCCAAUAGCGUAUAUUAAAGUUGUUGCAGUUAAAAAGCUCGUAGUUGAACUUCGGGGUCUACCCAUUGGUCAGGCUUAAUUGUCUGUACUGGUGUGAUGGAUCUCUACCUUCUGAGGAACUUUCAUGCCAUUUAUUUGGUGUGAUGGGAAAUCAGGACUGUUACUUUGAAAAAAUUAGAGUGUUUAAAGCAGACUAUCGUCUGAAUACAUUAGCAUGGAAUAAUGAAAUAGGACGGACUGAUUCUAUUUCGUUGGUUUCUAGGAUCACCGUAAUGAUUAAUAGGGAUAGUUGGGGGCAUUAGUAUUCAAUUGUCAGAGGUGAAAUUCUUGGAUUUAUUGAAGACUAACUACUGCGAAAGCAUUUGCCAAGGAUGUUUUCAUUAAUCAAGAACGAAAGUUAGGGGAUCGAAGACGAUCAGAUACCGUCGUAGUCUUAACCAUAAACUAUGCCGACUAGGGAUCGGACGAAGUUAAUUUUAUAAUGACGCGUUCGGCGCCUUACGGGAAAC